CAUUUACAGAAACCUCCAGAUUUUUGUCUGCCAGAACACACAGUCUCUGUUGCAGGCCCCAGAGCUCUCUCUGCUUCUAACCUGGGAGCUGAUCGUCAUGAAACCAAAGCAGUUUAGAGAGAUCCUUUAUUCUGCACUUAUCAAAAUACGUCAACCGGGAAUGCCUUCUUAUUCUCCACUAACCAAUGUAAAUGCCACCGCUGCUCCCUGUUCCCACUGGUGCCCGAGUCACCCUCCCAGCAGACGCCCAGUGAGGUGCCUCCCUGCCGCAGUCACCCGUCUCAGCGCCACUGGGUCAGUUUUGGUGACAGAGUGAAGGCCCCACCACGGUCAGUCUGAGAUGCCAACAUGACGUCCAUCAAGCAGAACGAUAUUUCCCACUGCACGCGUGAACCACCGGCUCGGAGGAGCACACGCCACCAACGCGGUCCUUGCUUCCUUGUGGGCUCACCUUUCCAGAGCUUUUGGUCUGCAAUCAAGUCUCCCCACAGAUUUGAGAAAUGUACUGCUGGAAGCAGAAACUACAUGAUUAAGACUGAUUUAUCUCUACAGAUGCUUGAGAAUACACGUGCAUACACAUAUGUAUAUGUAUAUAUGUAUAUGUACACGUAUAUGUGAAGCCCAUCCCGCUACCACCCUUAUGUAGAGCACAGAUGUUACAUAAUGCUUCCAGCCGGGAAGAGAGAAGCAGGGAUAUGACUAAGCAACAGAGCGUGACUUCUGAAUAACAAAUUGUGCAUAUUCCCAAUGAUAUUUCUCCCGCUGAUCUCCAAGGAAAGAAAUCUACAAAAUGAAUACAUCUGAGAAAUCUCCCGUCUCCUAGAGGACUACGAGGAGAUACUGGAGGACAACGAGCUAACAGAAAAGUAGACAGAAUUUAUUCCAUAUAUUUACAGUGCUCCUUGUAGAUUACUCACUUGCCUCUGACAGUGACUUCGUGUGUUGACUCAGAUGAUUAAUACGUGGAUCAAGAGUUUUCACCCACUGCGCAGCAGCGAGUGCGGUGAGAUUGAACUCCAGUUUGUAGCUAAAGCAGAAAGCAAACCCUUCGCAGGCACCGGAGGGCAGUUUGAGGUAGAUUAAGACUCCGCAGGGUGAGAUCUAGGCAUUUCGCUCUCCUCCCUCUACUUGACCAGAAACCUGCAUACAGACACCUACAGCUUUGUCACCUUGUGGUGUUAAAAACCCUCUUGCCUUGCCUCUUUGGGUUGUUAGUGCCUCCUGUAUGAACUAGCAUCUGAAGAGGCCUCUGAAGAUAUCAAUUUGCACAGCAAGGGCCCUGUAAAGUGGCAACAUCAGGAAGGCAGGCACUUCUAAAAUCUUCAAGCCAGAUCCUUGCCUAGAAGAAAUCAGCAGAGCUCCAGUGCCACCAGUAAAGCUGUACCAACUGGCUCCUGUUGGGGCUCUCAGCCCCAAAUUUCUCAGAGAAAAGAAACCUAACUGAUGAUAAAAUAAGAGAGGAGGAGAAAAAGCUUUUAAAUGCCUGAAAGAUGAUUUGGAGACAGAAAAGGAAGGGCCAGGGGCAAGGAAACAAGGGCACGUUUGAAAUGAUUCAAUAAGCAAAUGGGAAAAAAGAUGAAAGAAAUAUUGCAGAUAACGAGAGGAGGGUGAUUAUUUUCUAUCUCCUCUCCGAAUCCACAUUUUGUCAGAGCAGUCAUGGCUUUCCCAUGGAGACAAUAUGACCGCCUGAUCCAAGGAGCUGUGAUUUAGACAAGACAUCUGCUUGCAAUAGCAUCCUCUCAGCCCUGGGAUCCUUACUUGGCUUAGAGCUGAUCGGGUGAUUAUACAAUGCUGCUAUCUGCUGAAUUUCUAAAAUGCUCCCCUUGGAGCGGGUGUGCCUACACAAGCACCGCAGGACAAAAGGGAGCGCUGAGCUGCGGCUCUCCUUUGCUGGUCAAACAAAGCUGAGUCAGUACAAAGCGCUCUGCAGUUCACUGCCGGCCUGGCUCAGCAAGGGGGAGCACCCAGGGAAGGAUGCCAUGAAAGGUUGGCUCCGGAGCACAGCGUCUCUUUGGACAGAGCUCUUACAGUCAUGUUCUUCUCAAAGACACAACGAGGCCAAGCCUUUCUGCUGACCUUUUCAGAUGCUCACCAGUAGUGCUGCUCUUUGUUUCCGCUCAGAUCAGCCCCCUCAUCUGUACUGGCUCACUCUGCCAUUCCCCUUGUUUGUUCCCCAGGACAAUGCUGUGUGAUCUCAUUUAGGCUUGCUAACAAGGUCUUAUUCUUUAUCUUUUCCCAUUCCCUUUUGCUCUCUUCUUCCCUCUUCUUCUAAUCCCAAGGUUUGCUUCAGUCUGCCCAUUUCAUAGUUCGCUAUGAUUUAUUUCCUCCUAUGCAGGGGAGCACCCCUUGAUACGGAUGGGCUCUUGCUUCCUGGGGGCAGGAAUUUAGAUGCAUGAGUGACAGAAAGCUCAGCAUGGUUCAAGGCUCCGUCCAGUCCAAUAUGAUGCUGAUCUGGACAGCGAGGGCAAGGUAAAUGCUGCUGAUGAUUUUGGGGCUGAUUGCAAUCCAGGCUGGGCGGGUUUUGACCAAAACAAUUGGCCGCCUGUAACAGAUGCUAAUAAUUUUUAUGAUGUGGAUACAACUUUGAUCUUCAUGUUAAGCCUGAAUGUAAAAAAAAAAGCUAAUAAACUACCCCAAGGAAAUAAAAUGAACACCUGUAGUUUGCCCAGGAAUGGUUCAAAGGUGUGCUAAGGCUAAAGUAUUUGAGGUCCACCAUCGAGGGGGAAGGGAUGCAUGUUUGGGCAGGCUACUGAAAUCCUUAGUUCCAAAAGAGCUACUACCUAAUUUGGAAGGACUUCAAAUAUCUGGAAGAUGAGCUCUGUGUGUAUUUAGCAUCCAAUUAUCCAAAGAACUAAAAUGAGCGCACACCAUAAAUCUUUCCUCAGUGAUAUUUGUGUCAGAACUGAUGAUAAGGCAGCAGCAUAGAGAUGACAAUUUGGACGAGUCUCCUUUUUUAUGCCUCAUUUCAUACAUUAGACCAGCCCUCUGAGCUUCCCUGCAGCUGUCAGCUCUGUUGAGAUUUAUUCACCAUCAAUAAAGAUUCCAGGCAUUCCCGGGAACUCGCCUAAACAUUUACACCCACUUGAUCCGCUCUUCCCAUUAACUCUCAUCUGUGCCCAUGUCCUCUCUUCCCAGCUCCAUUUCUCUGAAACUUCUCUAUUCCCUAGGCAGGGUAAUGACUUCUCUUUCCUUCCAUCAAACGUUUCUGAACAUGGCCACUCUGAGAGUCAGCAGUGGUGAAAACGUGCCAUAGCAGAGACAGCAGUGGUUUGUCCUUAGGAUUGAUUUACUUCUCUCAAGGUGUAAUUGUAUUAUCCGUGUUAGGAGAUAACACGGAUAACAUUCUAAAACCAAGCAUGGCUAAUACCACUUGAACAAGCACAGCAGUGUUAGCCUAGCUCUGCUCACGAGAAAUAAACCUUAAGCACUGGGCUGGUUCCUCUAUGCAGCUCUGUAUCAUAUUAAUCAACACUCCAGUUUCUUUCCCAUAUGGAGUUUAUUUCCUCUUGCUUCCUUCUAAUAUCUAGGUGUACAUGAAGACGGUCUCUCACAGUCUAGUGCCUCUUUGGUUGCUGUUAAUAAAAAAAAUAGAGAGGUCAUCAUCAAACACUCCAAUUAGCUGUUCCUGUAGCAAACAGUCCCAUUUAUUGCAAUUUAUGUCAAUGAGUUUUAGCAAGAACAGUUGGCCCUUUGACAACUAAUAAGAGUUGUAGCUUUUCUUCUAUUGAAUUUUUACCUUUUGGGUGAAAAAUAAAAGAAGACCAUUUUCUAGAUCUUGUACAUUCUACUGAAUGCACUAAUAUUUUAUGACCUUUCUGUGCAUGAGCAUUCUUGUUUAGCCUAUGUCUUAUACUUUAAGGAGUCAUUUUAAAGAAGAACUACACGUGUGAAUAUUUUUCUUUACUUUCAUGAGAGCAAGCACUGUACACAUUGCUAGUUUUAAGGCAGGUUGUACAACUUAAGAUGUUUGCUUUCUUAGAGUAAACAGGCACUUCUGGUUCUGCUGUUUAGUUUGGUCCCAAAGUAUUACCAGCCAUCCCCAGCAUGAUAUUUACACAGAAGGAAUGCAAACUCUCAUCCAGCUCAAGUGAUUUUUAUGGUCCAGUGAGUAACAAGAUAUUAGUCACCAGAAGGUCUUUUGACCUCAUUCAUUUUUACCUUCUUUUCUGCUAAUAAAUAUAUUCUUCUGGUUAUGAACUGCCUGCUAUUUAUGCAGGAAAAGUCACCUUUCUGGUAAAAUCUGCCAAAUGCAAGUCUCUUUCGGAUUGUUACCUUGGAAGUUAAGACAAAUUAAUGCUGUGUUAACUCAGACACAAAGUUUUCCAAGCAACAAGCAACAACCACCCUAAAGCCAUUCUUCUGACCUUUCAGCAGGCACAGGAAUAUGGAAGCAAGGGCUUUGUACACACUGGCCAGAGGAAAUACUUGAACGCCUGCAUCCUUAAUCCCUGGAUUUGGGAUCACCAGGCUGUUUUAGGAAUCACCUCAGAUCUUUUCCAGCUGAGCAGCAAAGAGGGCCAUCUGGCCCAGACAACCCUGGCUGUUGGAGGAACAGCGCAAUGGUUUUGCAACAUGAACAGAGUGUAAAGAGAGACAGGUUGCAAAUUCCUCGGAGCUGGCACAGGGGAAGACCUUUUCACUUGUGAGACAGUGUUAAACAGGCUACUGGCAUAACCCUAACUUCUCCCGGGACCUCUGCUGGAGCAAGGGUCCAAUCUGGAAGCAGCAUCCUGCCACGUUAGCAGAUGGGCAUGAGUACGGCAGCCAAAAGAUUGGAGAAAAAUGGAUACUUAUGGGGAAAUCACAGAAAGAGAGUUCAUCACAACUGAAGGAUGUAGACAGCUGUUAACAAGUUCAUAGACUGCAGUGGAGAGACAUAAUUCUAACACGACUGCACACAAACAGGGAACCAGGAUUAAGACCUCAGCAACAGAAAAACACGUUUUUAUAAUGUGAAUCACCAGCAGACAUCUACCGUUCUUUGUGAAAGCAGGUUCAUUACCCUCUGUGGACAGCAUCGUGUCUUGUCACGAGAAGAGGCUGGAAUGAAAUACCUUGCUGCCCAAGUCGGCAUAUUAUCCUUGCUGAGACCAUAUGCAGCUCCGUGCUACUACUCAGCAGGAACAUAGCCAUCAAAAUCUUCCUCAAAACCAGCAGAAAAAAUGCCUGGAACUUCUCAGCUCCAAAAGCUCAGCCCUGCAGCCUCUGCAGUACAACAGAAUAUCGUUGAGAGCUUCUAACUAUGC